rnacentral:rRNA from 1 species
AAAGGGAGCGUAGGCGGCUGAUUAAGUCAGCGGUGAAAGGUAGCAGCUUAACUGUUUUACAUGCCGUUGAUACUGGUUAGCUUGAGUUGACAGAAGGCAGAUAGAAUUCCUGGUGUAGCGGUGAAAUGCUUAGAUACCAGGAGGAAUACCGAUUGCGAAGGCAGUCUGCUGCAGUCACACUGACGCUGAGGCUCGAAGGUGCGGGGAUCAAACAGGAUUAGAUCCCUGGU